rnacentral:rRNA from 1 species
AGGCGACGACGGGUAGCCGGCCUGAGAGGGUGACCGGCCACACUGGGACUGAGACACGGCCCAGACUCCUACGGGAGGCAGCAGUGGGGAAUAUUGCACAAUGGGCGCAAGCCUGAUGCAGCGACGCCGCGUGAGGGAUGACGGCCUUCGGGUUGUAAACCUCUUUCAGCAGGGAAGAAGCCACAAGUGACGGUACCUGCAGAAGAAGCGCCGGCUAACUACGUGCCAGCAGCCGCGGUAAUACGUAGGGCGCAAGCGUUGUCCGGAAUUAUUGGGCGUAAAGAGCUCGUAGGCGGUUUGUCGCGUCUGCUGUGAAAGCCCGGGGCUCAACCCCGGGUCUGCAGUGGGUACGGGCAGACUAGAGUGCAGUAGGGGAGACUGGAAUUCCUGGUGUAGCGGUGAAAUGCGCAGAUAUCAGGAGGAACACCGAUGGCGAAGGCAGGUCUCUGGGCUGUUACUGACGCUGAGGAGCGAAAGCAUGGGGAGCGAACAGGAUUAGAUACCCUGGUAGUCCAUGCCGUAAACGUUGGGCACUAGGUGUGGGGGACAUUCCACGUUCUCCGCGCCGUAGCUAACGCAUUAAGUGCCCCGCCUGGGGGAGUACGGA